UCAGACGCACACAUACAGAGAGCCAGGAAUACGAGAAAGCACAUGAUGGAGACAAAGCAAGGUAGCCAUGUUUUCGAUCCUCAUCCUCGGGUGCUUCAUGUUUACUUCAAACUGUCAAACCGUUGAUCAGAUGGAUAGCACCAAGAUCGUGUUAUGCCCCUGCCCGGAAACGAAACCCGGGAUCUACUGCUGUUCGGAUGUAGAGCGUGACUGUUUUCCGUCAAGGGAAAAAUGCAAACAACACUGCUGCAACAAGAAGGCAUUCUCCCUUUCUGCCCCUUGAAACAAUGUAACUUCUUGAUAUGGGAAAAGAAUCAAUGUGCUUAGAACUUUUCUUGGAAUAAACUAAUGGCCAUAUCGCUUCA